AUUGAACGCUGGCGGCAGGCCUAACACAUGCAAGUCGAACGAGUGGCGGACGUGUGGGUAAUGUCUGGGCAACUGCGUGAUGGAGGGGGAUACCUACGGGAAACGGAUGCUAAUACCGCAUACCAUCAGAUGUGCCCAGAUGGGAUUAGCUUGGUGGUGGGGUAACGGCUCACCAAGGCGACGAUCCCUAGCUGGUCUGAGAGGAUGACCAGCCACACUGGGACUGAGACACGGUCCAGACUCCUACGGGAGGCAGCAGUGGGGAAUAUUGCACAAUGGGCGCAAGCCUGAUGCAGCCAUGCCGCGUGUAUGAAGAAGGCCUUCGGGUUGUAAAGUACUUUCAGCGGGGAGGCGUUACCCGCAGAAGAAGCACCGGCUAACUCCGUGCCAGCAGCCGCGGUAAUUC
rnacentral:rRNA from 1 species